GAGAGUUCUCCUAGAGCUCAUGUAGCGGUUAUGGUGGGGUGAACGAACCCUGCUUUGCUUUUGGCUCAAAGCUUGCUUUCGCAGGCAUUUCUGGGGGUGGUGCAGUCACCAACCCUGGGGGUGUUCAAGAAACAUUGAGCUUUUGUACCUAGGGGCGUGGAGUCAUGGGACAUAUUGGUGAUAGGUGGAUGGUUGGAGCCCUUGGCGGUCAUUUCCAGCCUUGCUGACUCCCUGAGUCCUGUUUCUUAGCUCCAGAAUUCCACUGUCUCCUUCCCAAGGGUCAACAGGUAUUUGUCGACGGGGUGUAACGCCUCUCAUGCACGAAGAAGACAUUUGGGAAUUGGGAUGGAUUUUAUUGACAUGAUUGGUGACAGGGUGACAAUGGUGACAGACCCCUCAUGCUUGUGCAGACCCAAUGGUGUCCUGAUGAAGGGCCGCAGUGUGUUCUGGGGUCAGAAAAGAGUGGGCUUAGGUGGACGGAUGCCAAGGGCAGUUGCCAGCUCUCCAGGCAGGACCCAGCGAAGGAUGUCCUUCUGCAGCACAAACAGGGUGAAGAAGACAAGCUGCAGCAGGCCCAAGAACAGCAGAAACGCCCUGCGGAACAGAAGAAGGUCCAGUCAGAUUCCAGGGGCACGUUUGUCACAGCACUUUCCAUCCAGCCCUGGCAAAUGGCCCGUGGACAUGUGCCAUACAGGGAGCAAGGGAAUCUGUCGUAGGUCUGCGCAGGGCUGCCAAGAUCGCCACCCCACCUGCUCUCCCACCCAGGACCCUAAGCAAUAGUGAAGCAUUUUAUCUCCA
ensembl:lncRNA